UACGGAGGGUGCAAGCUUUGUCCGGAAUCACUGGGCGUAAAGCGCGUGUAGGCGGCUGAGUACGUCUGCUCUGAAAGCCCGGGGCUCAACCCCGGGAGGCGGGUGGAUACUGCUCAGCUCGAGUCCGGAAGAGGAGUGUGGAAUUCCUGGUGUAGCGGUGAAAUGCGCAGAUAUCAGGAGGAACACCAAUGGCGAAGGCAGCACUCUGGGACGGUACUGACGCUGAGACGCGAAAGCGUGGGGAGCAAACAGG
rnacentral:rRNA from 1 species